UACGUAGGGUGCAAGCGUUGUCCGGAAUUAUUGGUCGUAAAGAGCUCGUAGGCGGCUUGUCACGUCGGAUGUGAAAAUCCAGGGCUCAACCCUGGACCUGCAUUCGAUACGGGCAGGCUAGAAUUCGGUAGGGGAGACUGGAAUUCCUGGUGUAGCGGUGAAAUGCGCAGAUAUCAGGAGGAACACCGGUGGCGAAGGCGGGUCUCUGGGCCGUAACUGACGCUGAGGAGCGAAAGCAUGGGGAGCGAACAGG
rnacentral:rRNA from 1 species